GACUUGUAACUCUUUAGCAGUGUUCUCCUGUAUUUCUUUAAGUGAGUUAUUAAAUUCCUUCUUUAUGUCCUCUACCAUCAUCAUGAGAAAUGCUUUUAAAUCCAGGUCUACCUUUUCAGGUGUGUUAGGAUGCCCUGGACUGGGCGAAGUGGGAGUGCUGGGUUCUGAUGAUGGGAAGGUGCACAGUUAUCUGGUGUUUGGACCUCCUCCUGGCUGAAGAUGAAGGCCCAAAACAGGAUCUUUCCCAGAAGCUGUGUUGCUUUGGCCAGGAAAGUGGCCGGUUGUCUGGAGCCGAAGAUGUCGCCGCCUCAGAAGCUCUCUGGCUCUUGCUUGUCCCAGAAACGGCUGGCCUCUGCAUUCCACACCGUCACCCGUGCAGCCUGCCCUCCGAGGAGUCCUGGAGCCAAGGAGGCUCCCGCUGGGGCCUGAGGCACAAACCUCUCGGGCUGGCGGAUCCCUGUGCACUCACCAGGAAGGUGGCCGGUUGUCUUAUGUCAUUUUCAAAUGUUUCCUCUUUUCAGUCUGAGGACUUUUUCCUUCCCACGCCACUCACCUUAUUGUAUUUUCUAGGCCUCUAGUCUAAGGCCGAAUACAAUUUAUUUAUAUAAAUGUUUAUUUUUUCCAGAUCUUAAGGAUAAAAAUUGUUAUAAACUUUUAACUUUCCUGAAA
rnacentral:lncRNA from 1 species